UUGAGUUCUAGUUCUAAAAUGAACAAAUUUUGGAUUCACCUUCUAUGAUGAACUCUCAAAUUCAUCUCUAUUAUUAACACCAAUCAAAAUUGCCAUGUAGGAUUAGAAGAAAAAAAAAUAUUAAAACUAAAAAAAAAAAGGAAAAUAGCUUUAAAAAAAAUAAAAGACUUCGCUUGUUAACGCCGUCGAUGGCUUCUUCUUUUUCAUCGCCCACAAAGAAGAUGGAAGCUGCGUUUGUCUUGAGUCUCCAAUUCUAUGCUUUCAAAUCGAAUUUCAAUUUCUUCUCCAAGCCAAAUCAAGCCAUGUGUGUUCGUUUUGCGUUUAGGGCCCGAGGAAGAAGAUACUUCUUGCGUUGUGGAUAGAUUUGUUUGUUGCUUAUGCAAUUCUCUCUAUCAUUGUCCUUUUCUUUCUCAAUUGUAUUUCAAGAGACAAAAGUAGGCAAGAGUUUUGAUAUUAAGACAGUUGUUGUAAUACAAAGAAAAGCAUUAAUAUUGAAUGAUUGAAAAGGAAUCUUGGAAUGUAAAAAAAAAGUUGUUUUGAGCU